UACGAAGGGAGCUAGCGUUGUUCGGAAUCACUGGGCGUAAAGCGCACGUAGGCGGAUGUGUCAGUCAGGGGUGAAAUCCCGGAGCUCAACUUCGGAACUGCCUUUGAUACAGCACGUCUUGAGUCCGAUAGAGGUGGGUGGAAUUCCGAGUGUAGAGGUGAAAUUCGUAGAUAUUAGGAAGAACACCGGUGGCGAAGGCGGCCCACUGGAUCGGUACUGACGCUGAGGUGCGAAAGCGUGGGGAGCAAACAGG
rnacentral:rRNA from 1 species